AACGAACGCUGGCGGCAGGCCUAACACAUGCAAGUCGAGCGCCCCGCAAGGGGAGCGGCGGACGGGUGAGUAACGCGUGGGAACGUACCCUUUGCUACGGAAUAGCCUCGGGAAACUGGGAGUAAUACCGUAUGUGCCCUUCGGGGGAAAGAUUUAUCGGCAAAGGAUCGGCCCGCGUUGGAUUAGGUAGUUGGUGGGGUAAUGGCCUACCAAGCCGACGAUCCAUAGCUGGUUUGAGAGGAUGAUCAGCCACACUGGGACUGAGACACGGCCCAGACUCCUACGGGAGGCAGCAGUGGGGAAUCUUAGACAAUGGGCGCAAGCCUGAUCUAGCCAUGCCGCGUGAGCGAUGAAGGCCUUAGGGUUGUAAAGCUCUUUCAGUGGGGAAGAUAAUGACUGUACCCACAGAAGAAGCCCCGGCUAACUCCGUGCCAGCAGCCGCGGUAAAGUAGACGU
rnacentral:rRNA from 1 species